CCGAUUAGCUAGUUGGUGUGGUAAUGGCGCACCAAGGCGAUGAUCUGUAUCCGGCCUGAGAGGGCGCACGGACACACUGGAACUGAAACACGGUCCAGACUCCUACGGGAGGCAGCAGUGGGGAAUCUUGCACAAUGGGGGAAACCCUGAUGCAGCGACGCCGCGUGAGCGAUGAAGCCCUUCGGGGCGUAAAGCUCUUUCGGCAGGGAAGACGAUGACGGUACCUGCAGAAGCAGCUGCGGCUAACUACGUGCCAGCAGCCGCGGUAAUACGUAGGCAGCGAGCGUUGUUCGGAGUUACUGGGCGUAAAGGGUGUGUAGGCGGUGGCUUAAGUUUGGUGUGAAAUCUCCCGGCUCAACUGGGAGGGUGCGCCGAAUACUGAGCGGCUUGAGUGCGGGAGAGGAGAGUGGAAUUCCUGGUGUAGCGGUGAAAUGCGUAGAUAUCGGGAGGAACACCUGUGGCGAAAGCGGCUCACUGGACCAUAACUGACGCUGAUGCACGAAAGCUAGGGGAGCAAACAGGAUUAGAUACCCUGGUAGUCCUAGCCCUAAACUAUGAUCGCUUGGUGUGACAGGUACCCAAUCCUGUCGUGCCGGAGCUAACGCGUUAAGCGAUCCGCCUGGGGAGUACGGUCGCAAGGCUGAA
rnacentral:rRNA from 1 species